rnacentral:rRNA from 1 species
AUUGAACGCUGGCGGCAGGCCUAACACAUGCAAGUCGCACGAGUGGCGGACGGGUGAGUAAUGUCUGGGAAACUGCCUGAUGGCGGGGGAUAACUACUGGAAACGGUAGCUAAUACCGCAUAACCUCGGAUGUGCCCCGAUGGGAUUAGCUAGUAGGGGGGGUAAAGGCUCACCUAGGCGACGAUCCCUAGCUGGUCUGAGAGGAUGAACAGCCACACUGGAACUGAUACACGGGCCAGACUCCUACGGGAGGCAGCAGUGGGGAAUAUUGCACAAUGGGCGCAAGCCUGAUGCAGCCAUGCCGCGUGUAUGAAGAAGGCCUUCGGGUUUUAAAGUACUUUCAGCGGGGAGGCGUUACCCGCAGAAGAAGCACCGGCUAACUCCGUGCCAGCCGCCGCGGUAAUUC